rnacentral:rRNA from 1 species
UACGUAGGGUGCAAGCGUUAUCCGGAAUUAUUGGGCGUAAAGAGCUCGUAGGCGGUUUGUCGCGUCUGCUGUGAAAACUGGAGGCUCAACCUCCAGCCUGCAGUGGGUACGGGCAAACUAGAGUGCGGUAGGGGAGAUUGGAAUUCCCGGUGUAGCGGUGAAAUGCGCAGAUAUCGGGAAGAACACCCGUGGCGAAGGCGGUUCUCUGGGACGGUACUGACGCUAG